rnacentral:rRNA from 1 species
AGUGAACGCUGGCGGUAGGCCUAACACAUGCAAGUCGAACGGUAGCACACUAUGAGCUUGCUCUUACGGGUGGCGAGUGGCGGAAGGGUGCGGAAUACAUCGGAAUCUACUUUUUCGUGGGGGAUAACGUUGGGUAACUUCCGCUACUACCGCAUAAGACCUACGGGUGAAAGCAGGGGCUCUUCGGGACUUGCGCGCUUGUAUGAGCCGAUGUCGGAUUAGCUAGUUGGCGGGGUAAAGGCCCACCAAGGCGACGAUCCGUAGCUGGUCUGAGAGGAUGAUCAGCCACACUGGAACUGAGACACGGUCCAGACUCCUACGGGAGGCAGCAGUGGGGAAUAUUGGACAAUGGGCGCAAGCCUGAUCCAGCCAUGCCGCGUGGAGGAAGAAGGCCUUCGGGUUGUAAAGCCCUUUUGUAGGGAAAGAAAAGCAGCAGUUUAAUACCCCGCUGUUCUGACGGUACCCAAAGAAUAAGCACCGGCUAACUUCGUG